GAGAAGAAAGGGAAGACGAAGAGAAAAAAAAAAAGAAUGGGAAACGUUAGUCUUUCGAUUUUGGGUUCCAAAAUUCCAAUAUAAUACGAAGUAUUCGUUUGUCCUGCAUUCUUAUUGAUAAUAUUAUAAUCUAACCACCACUCUUAACAUGUGCAACGCCCGGAAUAUCGUUAGAAUACAUUGGGUACUGGUGCCCACUUUCCCUUUCAAUUUCCAACAAUCAAAUUCCAUUUAGGGCUACAUUUUCUUUCGAUUUCAAUUUCUGUUCUCUUUUUCUCUGAAUCUAGACGAAGAAACGUAUCGAUCAAAGAUAUCCAUAACCUCUACUGGACCCAAAUUCAAGCAAAUAAACAACCCCACAAAGACAUUGUCUUCUCUGCUCCAUUUGUGUUCAUUCCCUCGCAAAAGCUUUAUUGCAUCUUGAGAUUCAAGUCACUGCAGAAAACAGCUAGGUGAAGAAAGGAGGAAGUGUCACUUCUAUUCAAGGGUCUAGAAGCAUGUAAAGCGACACCCGUAGUAAAGCCCAUUUCUGCCUUCACUAGAAGUAAAAAACAUUUGCUGUUUGCAAAGACAUCUACUCCAAAGACAGGGAGAGGAGUGUAAUGUUUACAGUAAAAGACAUUUUUGGAUGGACACGAUUGCACUGCAGACUUUCGGUUGCAAUGGAAAAUGGUAGCAUAGAUCUUCUCGACAAGCUGGACAAAAAUAAACUGAAUUCUCAUCUCAAAGAACUCAUACCAGGCCUCACAACUGUGGUUGAUGGCAAUUAAAUAUCACAAAUGAAGAAGGUGAUCUCGACAGAAAGGUGUAUGUGAACGUGCAAUGAAACAUGUAGUUAAUCUAUAUUUUGUAGUUGGAUAACCGACUUGCUGCUUUACAUGUGUCAACUUUUAAAUUGAAAGGUUACUGAAUGAAAAGUUUGAUUCAUAAGUCUUGAAUUUUGAUGGUUAUCAGCCCGGAACAAGUGAAUGCAAUGAAAUUGUGCUU